rnacentral:rRNA from 1 species
GUCUAUGCCCAUACUACCAUGAAUGUGCCUGAUCUUGUAUGAUUGCAGAAGCUAAGCAUGGUCUGGCCUGGUUAGUACUUGGAUGGGAGACCACCUGAAGAAAUUCAUGACCACCAAACC